rnacentral:rRNA from 1 species
UACGUAGGUGGCAAGCGUUGUCCGGAUUUACUGGGCGUAAAGGGCGUGCAGGCGGUCUGUUAAGUCUAGGGUGAAAGCUCCCGGCUCAACUGGGAGAGGUCCUUGGAUACUGGCGGACUUGAGGGAGGCAGAGGAAAGUGGAAUUCCCGGUGUAGUGGUGAUAUGCGUAGAUAUCGGGAGGAACACCAGUGGCGAAGGCGGCUUUCUGGGGCCCUU